UCCUCCGCUCAUACCAGUAACUGGCUCGGCCACCCUCUCCCACCUCCACCCCGGUGUCCGUGGGAGCCCUGCUGGGAUUGGGGUGCUCCUGGACCCCUGUGGCCCCUGCAGGCAGUGAUGGGCGUGCCUGCGUCAGAAGAGACACGUCGGGGUUGCCGAACCGGCAGAGAAUCGUGUUCUGCACGGUUGCUUGUCGCCCAGGAGCGACUCAGCACAGCACCAGCUCUUGCUCAGGCUCGCUUAGCUCCGGGGCUUCUGCUGGGGCAGAGGGGCCCUGCCUGCAGUGGCCCUGCCACCCGGAGCCCUGUCUCUCCCCACCGGGCGGCCUCAUUGGCACCCACCUGCUGGCUCGUCCGGGGCCCCCGGGGCUCCGGCCAAGGUACCAGGCUGGCCCCCGAGAUGCCGGUGGCGGUCUUCGGUGGGCGGGCGUCCAUGAGGGGCAGGUGGGCUCUUCCCCUGCGGCCUCCAGGGACUUACAUGCUUUACUGUCCCAUCGUCAGGGACCCACCUGCCCGACUACCCUGUGGUGCUAAUGCGACGGCCGGAGCUGUAAAACCCAAACAGCCCCCGAGCAUACACACCUCCCUCGUUUUUCACCGAGAAAACCCCCGGAUCUCAGAGUAAACCUGGGGCAAAUUCGCUGCCAGCUAUGUCCCCACGGCCUUCGCUGCCCACCUGCUGUCCUGAAGCAGACGUACACUCUGGCACCUGCCUCUGCUGGGAGGAAACCGCAGGAUCCGGCCACACCGCACAGGCCGGGACUCCUCAGAGGCCACCAUCAGGUCGGGGCUCCUGGGGCCCUGCCACCUGCCGAGCGACGCACGGUGACACACAUCCAGUGGGGAAGCUGGCAGCUGCUCCCUCUCUGGUCUCGGGUCCAUGGCCUCUGUCGUCACCCAAGACGUGGUCAGCAUUUUGCUCCCAGAAUUAUCUGACGCCUUCCACCGUCGGGGUGGUGGUGUGCAGAACUCACAGCCCCCCACUAAGAUUCUUUUUUUUUUCUAAAGAUUUUAAGUAAUCUCUGCACCCAGUGUGGGGCUUGAACUCACAACCCUGAGAUCAACAGUCAUGUACUGAAAAAAAAAGAGAGAGUCAUGUGCUUCACAGACAGAGCCAGCCAGGCGCCCCCAAGUCCCUCCAAGAUUCUUGUCCCUGUUGCUGAGCUGGCACUUACUCAGGUGCUGCUGUGCAGGGAUUUGCAGAUGAGCAGCCGAGGCCCUUGGAUCCCGGGUGUGGGCAAGCGGGGCAGGAGGGCAGGGAGACUGAGGCCUGAGGAGGACUUGCUCAGGAGAGGGAAUGGGGGUCCUGUAGGGCAGAGAGGGCGUGCCAGCUGGGCCCCCACCUACGACAAGCCCUCAGCCCCACAAGAAUUCUGCGCCGGGUUGGAGGAUCCCCGGGGCCCUGGCGGGGAGCCCAGCCUGGCCGGCACCUCGACUGCAGUCUGUAGGGACAGGCCUCCCAGGCCUCCGAGGGGCUGAUGGUGCGGCAGCUCCAGGGGUUGGGUGGGUGGCAGUGCGCAGGCAGCCGUGGGUGGCCCCCAAGCGGCCUCACGGGCCCAGCCAGCGGGGUCUCCAGGGCACUGGCGGCAGGCGGGGGGCAGUGUCCUCUGCCGAGGGGACCGCAGGACCACACUCCCUGCGAAUCCUCACACUCGUGUCUGCAACGGCCGUUCAGGUUCUGGCCUCUUCCUGCCGACCGGGCCCAGGGGUCACGGCGUUCCUAGGGUGAGGGCUGUGACUUCCCGCAAACCCGAGAGUCUCCCACGUUGUGGCAGUGCAAAGACAGAAGUCCCAGCCGCAUGUGAAGGGGAUGCUUCAGGAGAAAGAAGACUUUCCCCCGAGCGGAGAAACGGACUUCUCCUCGUUAUCCCAGCUGCUCCCGAAGCCCUGGCUCCUUCCUGGGCCUUCCCUGCGCAGCCGAAGGAUGAGCCCCGUUUCCUAGCACCUCACCCCGCAGGCCCUGCUGCCCACCCCCACCCACCACCACCCCCCAGUCCCCGGGGUCCAGGCCCACCCUCUUCUCAAGGCUUUCACGGUCUCACGUGGAGGGCGGGGAGACAGGUGCCCUGGCACCCGAGCCCCAGGUUUGCCUUGGCUCCUUCCUCUCACCCCAGAGUCACAGUCCUUAGAAAGAAAGCAGCGUGGCUCCCGCACAAGUGAUGCACAGGGAGCUGCGACCGCCCAGCCGGGUGCCCCCGCGGCCCCUCCUCCGACACCGCACACGCCCUGGGAGCCACGUGUAGGGAGAAAGCCCCCAGUGUGCACGAGGCCAUCGCUUCCCGAAGAGGUGUUGCCAUCAUAAGACACGCUCCUCCUCAACUCCCAGGAAUCACUUGGGAGAUGCUGGGGUUUGCCAGGGGCCGCGCCCUGUGAACCCUGGUAUAUUUGUGAUGAGCCUACGCAGGCCAAGGGCAUCCCCGGGGGAGGCAGGAGGAGCUGUGUCAGCUGCUGCCCUGUCCUUUCCAGAUUUUAUGUAUUUAUUCAUGAGACACAGAGAGAGGCAGAGACCCAGGCAGAGGGAGAAGCAGGCUUCCUGCGGGGAGUCCGAGGCAGGACUCGAUCUCAGGACCCAGGGUCACGCCCUGAGCCAAAGGCAGAUGCUGGAUCGCUGAGCCCCCCGGGGCCCUGUACUGUAUUUCUCACAUGGGUCGUGGCCGUGGACUGUCCACUCACUGGCUUACAGGACCGAACUCAACUCAUUUUCCUGAAGGGACUUCCGGAUCAACCCAGGUCGCCGAGGCGGGUGCAGCGUGACAUCACUGUUGCCAACUGCCAGUCCAUAGGGUAAACAAGCACAGAAGACGCAGUGGACCUCUGGUCGCUCAGAUGGGCCACCCGUGAUGUCACGAGGCCUGUGCUGUGUGGGUCAGGACGGAGCCCUGCCUCUUGGCACCGUCUCCUCAGUGAGGACCCUGGGUUGGAACUUGGCCACCUGGGGACCUCGCUCGGCUUCACUGACAGGUGGGAGGAGGGUGCACCUGCCCUGUUUUCUCACAUUGGACUCCGGUGGCCGUCCCCAGCAUUCCCGCAAAGGGCCCACGAGGGCCUUGUGUUCGCCCCUCCAUCACGCAUGAAUGUCACACCUUUGGCUGCUUCCCCCGUCCGUGUCUCCCUCCAAGGCCUGGAGUGUCUGACAACCCGCUUCCGCGGCCCUCCACGCUGGGUCUGCACCAGAGGUGUUGGGGGCCUGGCCCUCCACCGCCCCACCUCGGGAGCCCCGCGCAUGGCAGCUCCUGCGAACCCUGCCCCAGCUCUGCCUCUGCUUCCCAAUCCAUCGAACGUCUCUCUCCGAGUCCUUUCAGCUCUCUGGGGAUGAAACAAAGAAUAAACUUAGGUACGGAUGGAUCCCAGGGUUGAUUCGACACCCAGGCAGUGGUGAGCACGCUCGAGCGCCGUGGGAAGGUCCCAAACGCUCCCGCGCCACGGGCACAGCCUCGACAUGUCACCAGCUUCCGGGGCUCGGGGGCCGUCGAUGUCUUCCCCGGACUCUCGAGGAACGCAGUUUAGUCUUCCAACUUCCUGUCUCACAAAUGACAGGGUCGGUGUCUCUUCCUCACCCCCUGCCCUCGGCAAAAUUAAUGCAUCUCAAGACAGGAACAAGUGGGCAUUUGCUGCGGAGCCUUAAACACUACAUUUGAAAACGUAAAUUUCAUCCUCAAGGUCCGAAUUUCCCCUAAGGGUCUUGUUUAUCACAACGGCCACACUCUCCAGUCACCACCCACCUAAGCUAAGUGUUAAUACAAGCAAGUAAGUACAAAUUUAUUUGUGCUAGUAAAUUUAAGCUCUUCUUCUGAUAUAUUUGUGGAUUAAAAAUAAAAUCACAAUGACAACGCAAAACUAUCUUCACAUACUAAUGAAAAAACUAGGAGAGGAGGGAAGGGGGAUGGGGUGACUGGAUGACGGGCACUAAGGAGGACAC